CCUUCUUCCCAUCCAUUUCACAGCCCACCAGACAGUCGUGAAGCUCUGUCAUGCAUGUGACUGAGGCUGGCAUCACCUCUUGACGAAUGCUUCCCAGAGAGUUUGCUGACAGCCCAGCGUGCUGACUCCAAUCAACAUGACCCCUUGCUCGCCUGACUCAGGAUUCCCCAAUCAGAAGCGGUGUCUGCCCUGGA
rnacentral:lncRNA from 1 species